UGGGGAAUUUUGGACAAUGGGCGAAAGCCUGAUCCGGCAAUGCCGCGUGUGUGAAGAAGGCCUUCGGGUUGUAAAACACUUUUGUCCGGAAAGAAAUCCUUGGCUCUAAUACAGUCGGGGGAUGACGGUACCGGAAGAAUAAGCACCGGCUAACUACGUGCCAGCAGCCGCGGUAAUACGUAGGGUGCAAGCGUUAAUCGGAAUUACUGGGCGUAAAGCGUGCGCAGGCGGUUUGCUAAGACCGAUGUGAAAUCCCCGGGCUCAACCUGGGAACUGCAUUGGUGACUGGCAGGCUAGAGUAUGGCAGAGGGGGGUAGAAUUCCACGUGUAGCAGUGAAAUGCGUAGAGAUGUGGAGGAAUACCGAUGGCGAAGGCAGCCCCCUGGGCCAAUACUGACGCUCAUGCACGAAAAGCGUGGGGAGCAAACAGGAUUAGAUACCCUGGUAGUCCACGCCCUAAACGAUGUCAACUAGUUGUUGGGGAUUCAUUUCCUUAGUAACGUAGCUAACGCGUGAAGUUGACCGCCUGGGGAGUACGGUCGCAAGAUUAAAAC
rnacentral:rRNA from 1 species